rnacentral:misc_RNA from 1 species
GAUGAAGAACGCAGCGAAAUGCGAUAAGUAAUGUGAAUUGCAGAAUUCAGUGAAUCAUCGAAUCUUUGAACGCACAUUGCGCCCGACAGUAUUCUGGCGGGCAUGCCUGUUCGAGCGUCAUUUCAACCAUCAAGCCCCCGGCUUGUGUUGGGGACCUGCGGCUGCCGCAGGCCCUGAAAACCAGUGGCGGGCUCGCUAGUCACUCCGAGCGUAGUAAUACAUCUCGCUCAGGGCGUGCUGCGGGUUCCGGCCGUUAAAAAGCCUUAUUUACCCAAGGUUGACCUCGGAUCAGGUAGGAAGACCCGCUGAACUUAAGCAUAUCAUAAGCGGAGGA